GCGCGCGCCGCGUGGUGAGUAGUGGCGCUUACCGCCCGCCGCCUUGCUCUAUAAAAGAAGCUCGUACGUUUUCACCACAGUCUGUAUCGGAUCGGAUACGGAAACACUCGUACGUGACCGCUCUCAGUGACAGAUAAAAUCUAAAGUUUUAUUCCUUCAUCGCGUCUACACCAAGUGUAUUUAAAACGAUCACAAUGAAAGCUUCAAUGCUCCUGUUUUUCGCUCUGAUCCUGGUACUCUGCAGCUGUCUCUUGGCCUACCCUGCAGUACUUUCUGAAAAAAAUCCCGGACUCUAUGAAGAUUUUGAAAAUCUAUUCCGUGGAAACGUGGAAUACAACGCAAGGUUUAAGCGCCGUAUCCUGAGUUAUGGCAGAUGUGCUAAAGGUUACCUCUCGUUCUUCUACAGAUGUGUCACCUGUCAACUGUACAAAGGACUUACUGGAAGAGACUGUAAGGACAGAGAUUAACUACAACCAACCGAUGACAGCGACAAGCUCUCUUCAAGUCAACAACACCAUUUUUAUUUGGAAAUAUUUAACGUGAAAAUCUACAAUAUCGAUGCCAAAUCUUAUACAAAAAAACUUUAGGAAGAAGAGUAGCUGUCAUCACUAAUGUCUUUAUCCAAGUAACGUUAUUUUUUUGCUUCAUAUCUUCGAAAUUUUAACUUAGACAAAUUCAGCGAUCAUACGACAUUUCUCAUACUUCCAACCAAUCUUGAUUGUCGUAAUCCGUUCGGCCCAUGGAGGGAAGAAAGAUAGCGGAGUUGCCGCAUAAGGACGGUGGUUUCGAUUCUUCUUGGUCAAAUUCGUACGGUGGGCAUGACUUUUGGUCAGUUACGAGUGAACUAACGAGACAUCUUUCAGUAAUAUUUGAUACUACGAAAAAUAGGCGGAAUAACGUUCCUCGUCACUCGUUCAUCCACAUUUCUACUAUCUUAGACGAUUUUUCGCUAUGGCACCUCCGCUAGUCAUUUUUUUAUCCAUGGUUCGGCCGUAUGAUCGUUGAAUUUGUCUUUCGAGUUUUCUAUAAAUCAUACGGCUGCAUAAAUGCAAAAUCAGGAAGUCCAAACCGACAGUUAUUAUUGACUGUCUGUCGUAGUCCAUCCAGCCGUAUGAUCAUUGAAAUUGUCUCGAUUACCUAUAAAAUUGUUUAGCUCGACGUUAAAAAAACCCAACUUGGCAAGUGUAAGAAUACUUGUACUGUAAUAAUGCAAAUGUAUUUUUUUAUGCUUUCUGCAAUAUUGUUAUGAAAUCAUCGUUUUUCAAAAUGAUAUAUUUUUAACGUAUGAACAUUAUGUUAUUUCCUAAACAAAUAUAAACUCGAGAAAAAAGUUGAGGAAUGGUAGUUAGGUAUGACCUAGAUCAGUGGUCCUUAACCUUUUAGUCAUGAGGGACCAUUUCACCAAACGUUUAAUUAUUUUUUAAGACUCAGAACCAAAAUUACGUAAAAUGUAGCCCAAACGUACAUUUUUUUCCGGUUGGACAAGUAAGAUGGAUAUACAUAUGAUACGAAAGAUGGAUAGCAACGUCGGGAAGCAAAGCUUCGCGGACCACUUGGAAUGUAUCCAGGGACCACCGGUUAAGACCCACUGUCCUAGAUAGAUAAGCUAGCGUUUUGUGCCUUUAUAUAAAUGUAAAAGUAGGUUUUAUAGAAAAGAGGUUGCUCACAAUUAAUUCCAAAAAGAAACGAUGUCAUUCCUGUAAGCGCGGCUACGUUGAUGGGAACACCAACUUAACUGAGCCUUAGUGUUAACUCGCUCGAUAUCUAUAGGUAUCUUUUGCAAAAAAAGCGGGCACCUAUGCUAAAUCUUGGUUUUAAGGAGUUGGUUGGUGGGCUCAAAAAGUUUGUAUGAUUGGAAUCGAAAGAGUUAGCUAAGCAUGCGUAAGAGCGUACCUAUUGUCAAUUUAAAUUUUGGAUAAUUGCUAAGAAACUGGUUAACUUUGUUCUGAACUGAUUCCUGGACAGUACAUCGGCGUUUUGAAAAAUUCUAGGUUUGAUCUUCGGAAUACUGAUAACGCAGUUUUUAUCAAAUCACAUCAAAAAAAUUUGAAAAUCUAUGCACAUUAGGUAAAGUUGUCUCCUGUACUGAAUAGUCUAUACUGAUGAUGAAUAGCUAUGUUAAGAGUUUCGUUAUUUUCGUGUGCACCGAUCUACUGUUUGCAUAUUGAACUUUCGCUGUUUAAAAUAUCCCUUUCUAUGUACGCUUCUUGUUGGCAAUUGUUAUAAUUUUUGUAAACUAGUGUAGUAUUUUUAAUUAUAUGUAUGCAAGUAUUGUCAUAAAUCACAGUGUUUUAAAUUCCAUGAUCUAAGAAAUUCAAAGUUGAUGAAUUGAGCAAUAGUUAAAGAUUGUAUUAAUAUUCAGACUUGUUUUACGAUAGCUCCAAAGGAAGUCGCCGACUUUUAGCAUUUGCAUUUGAAAUGUUUGUUUAUGAAAUAAUAUUAUUACAAUUAUUUGCUUCUGAAUAUUAUUAUUGAUAAUUACUGUCUUUGUUGUAUACGAUGAUUGUAUAUUGAUUGUCUUGACCAGUGGAAAUUGUGUUUUUAAAUGUUUUUUAAUCAAACAAUGUUCACAAUACAGUAAAUGUUCUCAUGUUAUGUUACACUGUAUUUAUAAUUAAGUUAAUUCCUAGGUGGAGGGUAUUAUUAUAUAUUAUUAUAUCUACGUUUUUUAUAUAAAAAGUUACUAUUAGUAGUAAGUAUAAGCGAAGAUGUUUAAUUGACUCUCUAAUAGUUGUAGUCUCUUAUUUUUCUGUUUUCUUAAUAACAAUCGCAUAAAGUGUGUCGUGUUAACUACUAACAUAAAUAUGGAAUAAAUGCAUUUAUUUCUUCUUUAA